rnacentral:rRNA from 1 species
GAUGAACGCUGGCGGCGUGCCUAAUACAUGCAAGUCGAGCGAACAGAUAAGGAGCUUGCUCCUUUGACGUUAGCGGCGGACGGGUGAGUAACACGUGGGUAACCUACCUAUAAGACUGGAAUAACUCCGGGAAACCGGGGCUAAUGCCGGAUAACAUUUGGAACCGCAUGGUUCUAAAGUGAAAGAUGGUUUUGCUAUCACUUAUAGAUGGACCCGCGCCGUAUUAGCUAGUUGGUAAGGUAACGGCUUACCAAGGCAACGAUACGUAGCCGACCUGAGAGGGUGAUCGGCCACACUGGAACUGAGACACGGUCCAGACUCCUACGGGAGGCAGCAGUAGGGAAUCUUCCGCAAUGGGCGAAAGCCUGACGGAGCAACGCCGCGUGAGUGAUGAAGGUCUUCGGAUCGUAAAACUCUGUUAUUAGGGAAGAACAAAUGUGUAAGUAACUGUGCACGUCUUGACGGUACCUAAUCAGAAAGCCACGGCUAACUACGUG